ensembl:lncRNA
ACACACACACACACACACACACACUUUCGCUUUUUAAUGACAGUGGGUGGCCACUGUGCCUGUACUCUGUCUUUUUCCCCUGUGUGCUCCGACCAAAGCCUUUCUUCCCUUCAGACAGGAGCACCGUGAAGGGGUCUGUCCACGGAUGGCCCUCUUAAAACAGCAUCGGCUGCGAAGGUGCCUCGGCCCCUCAGGCCUUUGAAGUCCAGAUACUUCAUCAGGGGGCUUUGAACCCUGAACCCAGGGGAAGGAGCACCAUCAUCAGCACACACCGUUUCCAGCAGCACCAUCAGCAGCAGCAGCAGCCGCAGGUCCACAGCACCCCCCGAUAGACAGUAUGCAUGGUAAUCUGGCUCACUUUGUUUCCAGAGACUCUUAAGGUCAUAUAAAUAAGGGAAUGGGUUGCGGCUUGUCUUCGACGUUGAUUAAUGAAUGGGUUUCGGUGCGAUUUUAAUGCGAGGCCUGAGUGAAUGCGUGUGCAGGAGCUCCUCUCACAGAUUCUGCUCCGGGGAUGUUGUCACGCCUUGCAUGCCCAGAUGAGAUUCUUUUUUUUUUUUUUUACUUGCGGCACAUCAAAGUUUUUCCGGAAUUGUCUCUCUCUCUCUCUCUCUCACUCACAUACACACUAAACAUACGUAUACACCAACAUUCAGUUGACUCUCAGACCACAUCUGACAGUUUAUGCCAUCUUUGUCGUAAUAGCGAAUCUGCAUUUACCCUGAGUGUGUGUGUGACAGAAAAAAAAUAAAACAUUUAUUUGUCCACCAAAAUGUAACCCUUUUCUUACAUUGUGUACACCGGCGUAAUCAGACGUCUUCUUUUCUAACAUACUGUGAUUAUCUUUCUCAAUGUGAUCAUGCAGUCUUCACAUCAUUGGCUCCUUGGCCUCGGGAACCGUGGCAACAGAGACUGUGAAACAGAGGCGGCUAUUUCACUUCGGCAGUUUGUAAACCGAGAGCCUCUGUGCUGAUUCCUAGGGACUGCAGAUUAAUUCCCUGUCGCGCUGGUGAAAGAAAGUUCCUUCUUUUUUAAUUAAGGCGUGCAGUAUUUCCCCCCUUCUCUUAUUUGCUGCUUCCCUGUGUCAUCUCUCUGCUGUGUGCCAGUGUUGUGCUCCUUCUAAUUAGAGAUAUUGCCUUGAAUAAUGAACUGCUAAUGGUAUGUAAUGGCACUAAUCAAUAUACUGUACAUGGAAGCACUCCCGAUAUACAGGGAGCACAUGGUAAAUCUUCAAAAGUGCUCUCUUUAAUCAGCUACUUUUAAUUAGACUUUAAUGCUGCACCUCAAAUUCAUGAUAGAACAUUAACUCUUACGUUUGGAGUUUAGUUGAUGCUGUCAAAGUCUUGGUAUUAACAUCUUCACUCGAAGAAUAAAGAAAUCACGUCUGUAACUAGUUUUCACCAUCUAAUGUCUACAUUUAUAGGAAUGUUUUGUCGGAGGAACCUGAAUGCUCACAAGCAAACAGUAAAUCUUAAAAAAAAAAAAAAAAAAAAACAUUCUGCUCAGUACCCAUACCCAAAGGUGUUCGAAAUAGCUCCAUGGAGACUCUGGGAGAUUAAAUUGUAGCGAUGAUUAGUGGCCUCGCUUAAGGUCACGAUCAUUAGCACUCUGGAUCAGGUUGUCCUGAAGCAGAGAGUAGAAAUUGGUAGGUUGGGCUUUUUCCCAUGAAUGAAUGAUUACAGUCCAGACAGACUCAGUGGGGGAAAAAGAAAUAAUGAGGCUGAUAUGGUUAGAAAGACUGCAAACAUGCAGCAUGUAUAUACUUCAUGGCGUGCAUUCUAAUCAC